rnacentral:rRNA from 1 species
GAUGAACGCUGGCGGCGUGCCUAAUACAUGCAAGUCGAGCGAACAGACGAGGAGCUUGCUCCUCUGACGUUAGCGGCGGACGGGUGAGUAACACGUGGAUAACCUACCUAUAAGACUGGGGUAACUUCGGGAAACCGGAGCUAAUACCGGAUAAUAUAUUGAACCGCAUGGUUCAAUAGUGAAAGACGGUUUUGCUGUCACUUAUAGAUGGAUCCGCGCCGCAUUAGCUAGUUGGUAAGGUAACGGCUUACCAAGGCAACGAUGCGUAGCCGACCCGAGAGGGUGAUCGGCCACACUGUAACUGAGACACGGUCCAGACUCCUACGGGAGGCAGCAGUAGGGAAUCUUCCGCAAUGGGCGAGAGCCUGACGGAGCAACGCCGCGUGAGUGAUGAAGGUCUUCGGAUCCUAAAACUCUGUUAUUAGGGAAGAACAAAUGUGUAAGUAACUAUGCACGUCUUGACGGUACCGAAUCAGAAAGCUACGGCUAACUCCGUG